CGGGAUGUGGAUGUAUUUUUCCUUUCUUGUAGGAUGAGGGUCCUCCAUUACGAACACAGUAGCUGUUGAGGACAUUUCACCUUUUUUUCAGUGUCUGCACUGUAUGGGAACAAGUGCCGGUUUUAAGUCUCAGAACUACACUACAGAGCAUUCAUGAGUUUUCUUGACAUCUCUUUGUGCAAAAGCAACAGCAGAACAUCUUCUCAGAUACACCUGGAAAACUCUAAAGAGGAGGGUCAAAAUCUAUUUAAUUCAACGUGUAUUUUUAAGGACCAAGCAUCUGAGCACAGCAAGCGGUACCUUAGCGCCAAGUCUAGGACCAAAAGGCUCCUUAACAGCUUCUACCCCUAAGCCGUAAGACUGCUGAACAGCUAAUCAAAUAGCUACCUGGACUAUCUGCAUUGAUCCUCCCUUUUAUAUCCUACUGCUACUCUCUGUUUAUUAUCUAUGUAUAGUCACUUUACCUCCACCUACAUGUUACCUCAGUUACCACAACCUGUACCCCCCACACAUUGACUCUGUACCAGUACCCCCUGUAUAUAGCCUUGUUAUUAUUAUUUUGUUUUACUUUUAUUUAGUAAAUAUUAACUCUUAUUCUUCUAAAGUGCAUUGUUGUUUAAGGGCUUGAAAGUAAGCAUUCUAAGGUAAGGUCUACAUCUGUUGUAUUUGGUACAUGUGACAAAUAAGUUUGAUUUGAUUUAGUUUUACCCAAUCAUCUGGCUCAUUAUUUGGUGGUUGUAGAGUAAUUAGUCUCAAGCGUCCCAAGUGUUUAAUGUCACUCUCUCUCUCUCCUGCGAGAC